rnacentral:antisense_RNA from 1 species
AAUGCGUGUGCAUUUAAAGAAAUACACUAGAAUGUGACAUCCAACCUCUUAAUCCCAACCAAACCACGAAAUAGCCACAUCAACAUCAACACAGACGAAAGAAAAUAGAAUUCAUGCAUACAAAUUACUCUCAAAAAUACCUAAACUAUCAUUCUUAAACACUAAAAAUUAAAUAGUAAAAGCCCGUCCACAUCAACCCAAUUACAUACAUGCAUGCAUGCAUACAAAAAGAACUAGGCGGGAGCCCAAAAGGGUCCAUUAGCGGAGAGAGAUAUUUUCGCCAGUAAGUUGUGAUGCGAAGAAAAGUCAUUAGUCUGUCAGAUUACAAUUCCAAUUUUAAUAGGAAAUAAUAAACAGUCGUUUGAAUUAAGUCUCUAGUCAAAACCUCUAAAAAUGAGAUUUGAAAAGUUUACUUCUUCUUGGAAGUGGCUUCUUUCUUGGUAACAGACUUAAUAACACCGACAGCAACGGUUUGCUUCAUAUCACGGACAGCGAAACGACCUAGAGGUGGGUAGUCAGUGAAGGCCUCAACACAAAGUGGCUUCAAAGGUUGCAUAACAACCAAAGCAGCAUCACCAGACUUGAUAAGCUUUGGGUUUUCUUCCAAAACCUUACCAGAUCUCUUGUCCAUCUUAGCAGUGAUAGUCUGGAAUUUGCAGGAAAUGUGAGCGGUGUGACAGUCAACGACUGGAGAGUAACCGUUCUUGAUUUCACCUGGGUGGUUGAGGACGAUAACUUGAGCAGUGAAGUCUUCACAGCCCUUAGCUGGGUCAUUCUUGGCAUCAGAAGCAACGAAACCUCUCUUGAUAUCCUUGAUGGAGACGUUCUUAACAUUGAAACCAACGUUGUCACCUGGGACGGCCUCUGGCAUCUGCUCAUGGUGCAUUUCUACUGACUUAACUUCAGUGGUAACACCAGCUGGAGCGAAGGUAACAUUCAUACCUGGUCUGAUGAUACCAGUCUCAACACGACCGACUGGGACAGUACCUACACCACCUAUCUUGUAAACAUCUUGUAAUGGGAGACGGAGUGGCUUGUCAGUUGGUCUCUUUGGUGGUUCCAUAGUGUCGAGGGCUUCGACUAAGGUCUUACCCUUAUACCAUGGCAUCUUGUCAGAUCUCUCAACCAUAUUAUCACCAACGAAACCAGAAAUGGCAACGAAUGGGAUCUUCUCGGUGUUGUAACCAACCUUCUUGAGGUAACCAUCAACUUCGUUGAAGAUUUCAUCAAAACGAGAUUGCUUGUAUUCACAGGUAUCCAUCUUGUUAAUACCGACAAUCAUUUGUCUGACACCCAAAGUGAAGGCCAAUAAAGCAUGUUCUCUGGUUUGACCUUCCUUGGAGAAGGCACCUUCGAAACGAUCGGCUGGGACAACCAAUAAAGCAACAUCAGCUUGAGAGGUACCAGUAAUCAUAUUCUUGAUGAAAUCUCUGUGACCUGGGGCAUCAAUGACAGUGUAGUGGUAUUUUGGGGUUUCGAAUUGCCAUAAAGCAAUAUCGAUGGUAAUACCUCUUUCUCUCUCAGCCUUGAGCUUAUCCAAAACCCAGGCGUAUUUGAAGGAACCCUUACCCAUUUCGGAAGAUUCCUUCUCGAACUUUUCGAUAGUUCUCUUAUCAAUACCACCGAGCUUGUAAAUCAAGUGACCAGUGGUGGUUGAUUUACCAGAGUCGACGUGACCAAUAACGACCAAGUUAAUGUGAGUCUUUUCCUUACCCAUGUUUACGCGAUUUCUUUAAAAAAAUGCAAAUUACGACUUUUUCGAAAAAAAAAGCAAAGAUAUAUUAUAUCUGUAUUUUCCCUGUACGAGCUUAUAUCAGUAAUCCUGGGGAAAAUAUAGCUUUUUAUUGUUUUGACAAAAUCCCCUCACUUAGUUCAAUUAUAUUUGGUGUCUCCAAUAUUACAUUAUAUUCUUUGAAUACUUUUUUAAAUACAG